rnacentral:tRNA from 1 species
CCCUGGUUGGUCCAUUGGCUAGGACUGGCACUUUCACUGCCAUGGCCAGGGUUCAAUCCCCGGUCAGGGC